rnacentral:rRNA from 1 species
UACGAAGGGGGCUAGCGUUGCUCGGAAUCACUGGGCGUAAAGGGCGCGUAGGCGGCCCCUCAAGUCAGGCGUGAAAGCCCCGGGCUCAACCUGGGAGGUGCGCUUGGGACUGAGGGCUGGAGUUCGGGAGAGGAGCGUGGAAUUCCCAGUGUAGAGGUGAAAUUCGUAGAUAUUGGGAAGAACACCGGUGGCGAAGGCGGCGCUCUGGACCGAGACUGACGCUGAGGCGCGAAGGCGUGGGGAGCAAACAGGG